rnacentral:rRNA from 1 species
CCUACGGGUGGCAGCAGUGAGGAAUAUUGGUCAAUGGGCGCGAGCCUGAACCAGCCAAGUCGCGUGAGGGAAGACGGUCCUAUGGAUUGUAAACCUCUUUUGUCGGGGAGCAAAAGACGCCACGUGUGGCGUUCCGAGAGUACCCGAAGAAAAAGCAUCGGCUAACUCCGUGCCAGCAGCCGCGGUAAUACGGAGGAUGCGAGCGUUAUCCGGUUUUAUUGGGUUUAAAGGGUGCGCAGGAGGAAGUUAAAGUCAGCGGUAAAAUUGAGGGGCUCAACCUCUUCGAGCCGUUGAAACUGGUUUGUUGGAGGGAGAGAUAGGUAGGGGAAAGGGGGGGGGGAGGGGAGAAAUGCAUAUA